rnacentral:misc_RNA from 1 species
AAGAGAUUCUUUAACAACCUCAGGGUGAUAAGCUGGGGAUUUCAGCUCCUCUACACACUGUAGAGCUUCAUCAAGAAUCCGUACGCUGAAGUAUUCCUCAAGCAGCGAAACGGUUUUCUUGCGAAGAUCAACCAGAUUGGAUGCAGCAGGAGCUACAGGCUUCGGAGGCGAAGAUAUGAUAGGUGUAACUGGAGCAACUGGUUUAGGGUUGUGAGGAACAGGCUGAGUUCCAGGCAUGGAACUCGGUGGUCGGGCAGGAGAUGCAGCGGCACUACCCUGUAGCAAGGCACUUGUUUUCCCUGUUAUUACACCUCCACUUCCCUGAGGUAAAUAUUUUGAAUUAAUGGAAGGUGUUUUGCCCGUUAAUGAUGACUGGCCGCGCGCAAUAGGACCUCCGGUUUCGCCCCUUGGCAUUACUCGGGAUCUGGGAACUUCCCAAUUGUCUGACUCAAGUCCAGGCAUCCCAGGCAUUUUCCUGGUUCCUGGCAUUCCAGGCAUCAUACCUCCAAAGCCAGGUCGGGCAACUGGAAAACCACCAGGACUUAAUCCCCCAAGUGCCUCGGUAUUACGGCCAUUUCUCAUCAUUGCCAUUGAACCUGGACGGAGCCCUAGAUUCUUUUCAGCCUCUGAAUGAAUUUCAGUGAUGGUUUUCGCUUUCACCUCUUCACGUCUAGGAACCCAGUUAUUGGCCCGCAAA